CAGCCGCGGUAAUUCCAGCUCUCAAAGUGCAUAGAAUUAUUGCUGCGGUUAAAAAGCUCGUAGUUGGAUCUGUGCCAUAGGACGUGGUCCACCUUCGGGUGCGUACUACGCUCCUAGGCUUUUUGCUGGUUUUCCCGUCGUAGCCUUCACUGGUUGCGGCGGGUGGCUGGCGAGUUUACUUUGAGAAAAUCAGAGUGCUCAAUACAGGCGUAUCGCUUGAAUGAUUGUGCAUGGAAUAAUAGAAAAGGAUUUCGGUCCUCUUUUAUUGGUUUUGUGGACUGAGAUAAUGGUUAACAGGGACAAACGGGGGCAUUCGUAUCUCUGCGUGAGAGGUGAAAUUCUUGGACCGUAGAGAGACGCCCUACUGCGAAAGCAUUUGCCAAGAAUGUCUUCAUUAAUCAAGAACGAAAGUCAGAGGUUCGAAGGCGAUCAGAUACCGCCCUAGUUCUGACCGUAAACGAUGCCAACUAGCGAUCCGCCGGUGGAUUUUUAGCCCUGGUGGGUAGCUUCCCGGAAACGAAAGU
rnacentral:rRNA from 2 species